AAUCCGCUCGGGUAGAGAAGCGGCCCAAUGGAGUUCGGCUUCGGAGCUCCCGUCUCCUAUAAAGCGUGCCGGUUGGGCACGUGGUCGUUAGUUGGCAGCCGCGCGAGGUCGGGGUUGGACGUUAUAUUUUCGUUGAGUAACAGUGGAAAUGCUGUAUAACUAAUAAAGAGAAACUGGAAAUGUGAAUAGUUUGGAAUGAUUGAAAUCUGAAACAUAAAUUAUAAUUGACAUACUUUCUCCCUGUCUUACACACAUGCCUAAAAUAUGUCAUGCCUGCCUCAUUUUAAUGUUUUAUGGGUUUCGCCUCCAUACUACACAAGACAAUGGUUUCUGGGAGAUCAUUCAGUUUAUGAACAGGUCACUUAUAUAGUGGUACCUUUGUAUGGUCAUCCAAGAGCACCCAAUUCUACUCCUGAAAUCAGUGGCUGUUCGGCAAAUCCAUUUCCGGCAGCCCCACCUGGGUCAUCUUUUGCUUUUAACCGUCAUCCAAGGCAAAACUGUUACAGAUAUGCUGCUGCUGGAAUGAAUGCCACUGCUGAAACAAAUGCUUGUAAGGCAGAUGCUCUAGAGAGGCACAAUACUAUUCAGAGUUCUUCGGCAGAUCGAAACGUUGCGUUUAAUUCCCAUCAGCUGUCAUCGGAUAGUUCUGACAGAAGUAGGUUCAAUAAAGAUAUGCUUAACCUAAUGGAUUCAAGGAUUCAUUUCAAUGCUAGAACUUCGGAGCACAGUGGAAAAAAUCAAUAUAAAUCCACUGUCUUGAAUGCUGCCCACAAGUCAGAACAUUCUGCAAAAACUGAGAUUAAUAAUAUGUCUAGUGAACAUCAAGCAGGCGCUAACUGCUCCAUUUCAAGCCAGUCAUGUUAUUUAAGUUUCUCAGAAUUGACUUUGACGAAAGAGAACUUGGCUAACUUGAGUUCAACAGUGGAUGAAAAAUGUAAAUCUUUGUGUAAAGAGCAGCAGAAAAUUUCCAUCCCACCAGAAGAUGACACUGAUGGAGAUAUUAAUGUGCAUAUUGAUGAAGACUUACCCCACUUAAUCAAUAAUCAGAAUGACUACAGAUGCAGUGAGUUAGAUGAUGACUCACAGUUAGAAUAUCACAGUGCUGAAGAACAAGACUGUGUUUGUCAUAGCUCUUCAUAUACACAAAAAAAGGAAACAUCACAAACUUUCCACACUAAGGAAUCGGCAAGUUGUAUGGCAGGUGGCCAGCCAAAGUUAAAUAAAUUGGAAAACAAACCUAAUAUAAGUCAUUACUACAGUUUUAGUGAAAGACCAGAACUCUCCCAGAUGUUUCAAGAUGGCAAUUCUAAAGUAGACUAUUGUUUUGAUUCUGAUGGUCAGGAAAGACAUGAGACUGUUAAUAUGUUUUGUGGUAAUGAAGGUUUAGUUAGUGUUAAGGCUAGUAGAGAAAAUAAGAAUCCAAAAUCCUUCCUUGUGAGCAAGAGUGGGAUUGAUGGAAAAACCAAAGCAAAUUCUCUUACAGGUGCAACGCAAACACUUCAGUCACCUGUACUUACCUCCGGUGGUGAGUUAGAUUUUUUAGAUCCUUGUGCUCAUGAACAAUCAGUUGCACUUAGUGCCCAUGGGAUUUGUACCUGCAAAUUGCAUGGAGGAUAUGAAGAGAGUUUUUCUAACUCAGAGCUAAAGCGUGUCAAAAUGAGUAAAAGUACAGUUAACCAAGCUGUUGAUGCAACUUCUGAUUUUAGGGCUUGUUUUACAACAAGUCGAGCAACUAAUGUUAAGGUCACAGUGAUGACCAGAGCACAAAACACCACAAUAACAAUGAUGAACAAAGAGAGGCCUAAUAAGUGGCUGACAGAUUCCCACAGAAGUGUUUCCUGCAAUACAGAUUGGACAUUCAUCUCUGGAAACGCGAAAACAACUGAUUCACAAAUAGCAGUUACUGACAUUUUGGAAAAUUGCGGAUGGAAAUCCAAAACUGAGGAUCCUUUGGAGUGUAAAAACAGUAGAAGUAAAGAAUUCAAUGAAAUUCCCAAAAGGCUGAUGCAGCUCUCUCAGGAAAUAAGUGAUCAUUUGCCAAAAUGCUGCAAGGAGAUAUGCCAGAGAACGGUAAAGGCUGAAAUGCAGCUUCUAAACAUGAUCUACCAAAUAUAUAGUCAGCAUUGUGUGCAGACUUCUAAAGAUGCUAUGAAUGAAAAAGAUGUAAACAGUUCUGCUUCUGAAAUAGUAAGCUCUGUGUCAGAAGUUUCAUUGUCAGAGAACAUAGAAGGUUCUUCGCACUCCUUAGUUACACAUCAAAUAAGUGAAAAUUUGAACCCUUCUAACAAUAAUGCAAAGGAGUGGCAAAAUGAUCUUAUAGAAAGUGGAUCUUCAAUUUCUGAAGAAACUGCUGAAGACUGGUUUGAUGCCACAGAAAACCUGUCGGUGAGUGAUGCUGCACUAUCAUCUACAGGUCAGUUAAACCUAACAGAAAUGCAAACUGUAGAUGACAUUAAAAAGGUAUCAAAGAACAAUAUUUUUGUCCAUGUUGGCAAUUUAAGUCCCAUAGUAUCAGAAGUUGAUCUGUGGCUUCAUUUUCAUCAGUACAAUGUUUCUAGUAUUUCAAUUUGUGGACUUUCUGAGAAUUACAGAUAUGCAUCCCUUAGUUUCAAAUCAGCCUCUGAUGCCAGUUUGGCAGUGAAAAAAGUGAAUGGAGAACUAAUAAAAGGACAAGCAGUGAAGGUUCGACUUGUAAAAACUGCCAGAGAAAAUGGAGUCUCACAUUGUAAGUGUUCUGUGAAACCAGAACAUGAAUGCCAAAGACUGCAGACUUGUUCUGAGAAGACUGGAAAGAACUGUAAUGUGAAUUUAAAAGUGCCUCCUUCUGCCUUAGUAUCUCCCAGAGCAGUUACCUCUAGUCCCGUCUCCUCAAAAAGACCAGAUGCGUCCAAAGUUUCGAUAAAAUUCCCUUCGCCUGCUGUGUCAAAUGUUUGUCCACCCACCUUGGAAUCUUCAAAACUGCCGCUUUGUGCAUUUUCCACUUCUAAAGUACCUGACUCUGGUUUCAAAUUCUCUAAACCUUCAUCAAGAAAUGGAUGCUUUGAAAAAGAUCAGCAGGAUGUUGCAGAGAGCCAUUUGCUACUGGGCUCAGUACAGUGUACUCCAAGUCCAUUCAGUAAUAAUGUUGAAUUUCCCAACACGUUGAAUUUGAAAGGCUUCCGCAAAAUCGUGAAAAACCUAGAAGUUCUACAUCCAGAGGUCAGUAGGGACAAUAUUGUGAAUGCUUUACUGGAGGUAAAAGAACAGAAGGGCCUACUUGGUGGCUUACCCCUUAGUACUAUUGUGGAAAUGGCAUCAUCCCUUCUGAAUAAAAAGUUUACAACAAAAUACGAGGGAAAUGGAAACAACAACCUGAGAAAUAAAUAGCAAACCUGGACAAGUUGGCAUUUCUCUUUAUAUAAAAUCUCAAAAUAGGACAAAUUUCCUGAGAAGAAAAAACUUCCAGAGUCGAGGAGCAGCUACCGAAAGAGAAAGCCCUCUCUUGUGUCCCCACCAAUUGUCCUUGCAAUGAUGCUGUGGCUGAAAGAAGAAGCCGUCUUUGUAGGCGUGAAGAGAAAACGCACUUUUAAGUUGAAGAGUUGCUGUAGCUCACAGGUUUUUUAGAACAUAUAGACUAAAUGAGGAACAAAACAAAACUUUUGGUUGAAAAAUAUAGGUUGUAUUCAAAUGUUAUUCAUGUUUUUGUUAUUGUUAUUGGGAACAAAUUUACAAGAAACCCGGGAUCCAAUGUUUAUUUCCUUAAAAAAACGUUGCCUUAAGUAUCUAUGAAAAUAACCUUUUACCUGUUUAUAAUUUUAUUUUCUGCUGUUAAUUUCUUUUUAAUGAAAUGAUAUUUUUAUGUUACUCAUACUGAUCUUACAGCUUUUGUUUAGAAUGGUAAUAUCACUGAACAUUUGCUUUCAAAAAUUUGAAGUUGAAUUGUUUGAUAGUGCUCAUAUUUGAAGAUAUAAAGAAUAAAUAUCUCAUUGAAAUUAUAUUUAACUGUUA